GUGACAUCAUCCAUAGAAAAUCAUGUUUGAAAAUGUUUUAAUUUGCACAGAUCUUGUUUGCAUACUACUUUUCCACUAACUUUUGAAGUAAAAAAAAAAAAAUCAAGUCACAAUCCUGCAACAGAAAAGCACUUCCGACAGCAAGUUCUGCAGAAUAACCCGUUAAUCCAGCUACCCAUUGUGCAAAGAUAAUUUUUCUGUCUUUGAGAAAAGAAAUAUUUUACAUUCAAUACUCUGGGGGAAAAACACCUGUCGUUUUCCGGUCGUUGGAUGUUUAUUAACCAUUCAAAGGCACAGAAGCCCCUUCAGCAGCUGUCUUAUUAUGUCCUGUCAAAAUUUGAUGGCUAUCCACCCAAGGCAUUAAAAGAGGAAGCAUGGAACAAGUUAAACUGUGAGAGCAAGCUGUAUAGAAAGGCCGUGCUAGGGGAAAUCGAUAUGGAAUGAAAAACUGGGCCGUAUUUUAAUUUGAUAUAUGCAUUGAAUUUAUUUGUAUUUAAUUUGCUUUUUGCAUCUUGCUGUUUGUUUUUUUACUUUAAAAAUAAGGAAUAAUUUAAAUUAAUUUGACUUGAAAACGUACUUCCAAAUUAAAUGUUAAUUUAUAUAACGAUAUAAAUGGAAAUAUAUAUAUGUAUAUAUAAAUAUAAAUAACACUAGUUUGACUGUAGUUUUUCCAUAUACUUUUCACAAUAUAAUAAUGUUGGUAGACAAAGCUUUACAAGUUGAAGAAAAUGUUUUAAACUGAUGCAGUGUAAUACAUUAGUAAAAUGGUGCAAAAGCAUUUCUAGAAAAAGAAGGUCAUAAGCAUCAAAUAAGGCACUGAUUUGUAUAGCAAAACUGAGGAAUAGACAUAUCUUUUCAACAGCUUUGGUAUUUUAAUGAAUAAUUUUUUUAGGAGUAUACCAGGUGUGGAAGAAUUAGAAGUGUCCUUGAUCCCAGGUUUCACUUCACUGAACCCACUCCAUAUAUUGAUGGACUACACCACCAAGGGGGCCUAAAACUACCCCACAAAAGGUAACACCAGAUUCAGGUAGCACCGUGCUUACGAAUAGUGAUGGUACUCUAGAACUAAACCAUAGUAGUAAUUAACCUUGGUAUUAUGGAAGCCAAAUUAGUAAAGCAUGGAAAUUGAUAACCAUGAAAGCCAUGGUUCGUGCAGCUUUUAAGAAUGGGUUUUAGUGAUGGGUAAGUGUCUCUCCGCAAUAUUUGUAUUCUUUGAUAAAAUUUGGAAGAUUCUGUACAGUGAGUGGAUUAUUUUGUGGAAUAGCAGACUGUGUGCCUGAUUAAAUUAGGCUGUCAUUUACUCAGGCCUGGAACAGUGGAGACUCAUGUCUAGGAUGAAGAGACUGCCGUUUCCAUGCUGUGAUACGUAGAAGUACAGGAGUUAAGAGGACUUCCUCUCAGGAAAUCGUGGCCAUGAAGUGUUGAAGUAUGUGUUGCGGAAACACAGGCAUACUUCAGUUUGGGAACUUAUGUGAGCAGGAUGUGUAAUUUGGAAAGAGCACGAUUAUUGAGUAACAUGUCAAGGGGUGCCAUUAUUGCUGAAUAAUAUGGGAGGCAAGUAUAAUAAUCUCAUAGACUUACUGUGGAAAAAAAGACAAGACAAUCAAGAAAUCACCAUCCUUUAUUAUCCCAAUAAAGCCUCAACUAUGUACA